AUGGAGCACGUCGCCGUUAUGGCCGGACUGGGGCACCUCGCGGCCGUGGUGGUACUCGCCGUCGUCGCCGGCCUUCACGCGCGGUCCAACACUUGGAUCCAGCAGCGUGGUGAAGAGGCGGUGGCGCUGACCUCCCCGCUCGCCCACAAGCUCACACUCGGCACGUACCUCGCCGUCGAGCGCAACCCGAACCUAUCCCUCCCAUCGUAUUUCCUGUUGCUCAGCGCCUGGGACCCCACGCACCGGCCGCGCCGCGUCACUUCCCCGCGUGCCUUCAUGCGAAAACUCAGGGACGAGGAGAAGACGUGGUGGAUGCUUGCCGUGCCGUGUGGUGCAGGUCGCGGCCAUGUCCCCCCUGUAGUCUUCAGGCGUCCGGAGGAGUGGCCAGCACGGAUGGUUAUAGAGGAGCACAGGGCAUGCCCGUCGGUGGUGACCAUGACAGCCGGCGGUGGCUGCAGGCACGCCUCAAGGAGAUGUUACGGACGAAAGCAGGUCGCGCAGGACGACGGCAGGUGCUCGAGGAGGCGCGGAGGUGUCCAGCGGCAGUGGGUGCAGCCAGAGGCGCGGAGUCACAUGCAUGACGGCUUGGAGCGGCAUGUUUAG
rnacentral:rRNA from 1 species